rnacentral:lncRNA from 1 species
GCUAUGGGUUUGGCAAGGAUUUUUGGUGAAGAAGGCCAAGGAGAAGGAGUAUGACAUGAUUUUUGAAGAAGAAAGGGUAAGGAAUGGGUUUUGGACAAACCCUAGAAUUUUUGGAAUUUAUUUGGUUGAUUUUGAUUUUUGUGGAGCUAUUGUUGUUGUUGGAAAAUUGUGAAAAUUAGAUGUUUGAGGAGGAUUUAAUUAGUAGAAUUUUAUUAGCCUAGUUUUCUAAGUGUUGGAAUUUUGUGUUGAAUAUUUUGGUGAAUUGUUGUUGUGUAUUUUGGCCAAAAGAAAAAGAAAAGGAUGAAGAAAAGGAAAUGGCUUUAUUUUUGAAAGAAAAUAAAGAAAAUGAAGAAAAGAGUA